AAGAGAAAUUAUAGGCACAUAAAUUGAAGGUAUACCGAAAACAGGAGUUAGGCAAUAUGCUCCAAGUAGAAUACAAUCAGAAAUUGAAGUAAAUAAGAAAACCUAUAGAUAUAAAUUAUAGGUUACAUAGAAGGACAAAUUAGACAGAAUAAUAAGGUUGCAAGAAAAGGAGAACUUAAAUUAAUAAGGUUUGCUUAAGGGGACAUUCCAGGCACCCAGACCACUUCUACCCAUUGGAGUGGUCUGGGUGCCAUCUCCC